AUUGAACGCUGGCGGCAUGCCUUACACAUGCAAGUCGAACGGCAGCACGGGUGCUUGCCCCUGGUGGCGAGUGGCGAACGGGUGAGCAAUACAUCGGAACAUGUCCUGUAGUGGGGGAUAGCCCGGCGAAAGCCGGAUUAAUACCGCAUACGAUCUACGGAUGAAAGCGGGGGACCUUCGGGCCUCGCGCUAUAGGGUUGGCCGAUGGCUGAUUAGCUAGUUGGUGGGGUAAAGGCCUACCAAGGCGACGAUCAGUAGCUGGUCUGAGAGGACGACCAGCCACACUGGGACUGAGACACGGCCCAGACUCCUACGGGAGGCAGCAGUGGGGAAUUUUGGACAAUGGGCGAAAGCCUGAUCCAGCAAUGCCGCGUGUGUGAAGAAGGCCUUCGGGUUGUAAAGCACUUUUGUCCGGAAAGAAAUCCUUGGCCCUAAUACGGUCGGGGGAUGACGGUACCGGAAGAAUAAGCACCGGCUAACUACGUG
rnacentral:rRNA from 1 species